UUGCUUUCACAGCACUCAUUCCCUUGCUCCCCUCUCUCUCUCUCUCACCCCCACAUGAUGAUUGAGUCAUUGACAGACUAGGUUUGGGCCUUUGGCUUUUCAAAUAUGUUACGUUUUCGUUUGGGUUUCAUUUCCAUCACGUCCUUCAUUUUGUUUCUUCUUUCGUCGUCUUCACUCCUGAAUCCACCGGAACCGGAUAAAUACUUUUGGUUUCCAAGGUCGUAGCAGGUUCUCCAGUUUUCAUUUCGAUCAUCUUUUUCAGUUUCGUCUCCAAGCUUUUCAAUCGACAAGAAUUGGCAUUUGUAAGAAAGGAACAAAGAGCCCACAAAGUGAAAGGGUCAUCACCGAUUCCGCAGAUGGAAUUACAAAGGCCAGACAGCAGAGAAGAUGGAAUAACUUGGCUUGUACCUGAGAUGAAAGAGGAUCGAACAGAACACGAACUGGAGAUAAGAUAUUCUAGAACCAUUACUGAAAAUGAAAAUCAAAAGGGUUUCGUUCGAGGGUAUGUUUUCUUCUCAUGGCCCAGUGAAUCUAAUACUGAAAUAUAUUGUGAUUCCAACUGGAAAUAUGUCUUCUCAUCAUCAAGUGAACCAUCUGGAGUAACAAUUGUGUUCGAGCAAAGCCAUGGAGUCUAAGGAAGAGGGAGAGCAUUCAAGUUAAAGUCAAACAAUAAUAGAGAAAGUGAAUAUAUUGAUGAGGAAGAUAUGCCUCUAGCUCCAAGAGAAGUAACAGGGGACAUUCAAAUGCGAGUGGUGAGAUUCUCAAGAGGGAUGGAAAUUUCAUCAUCAGGUUUGAAGCACAAGUUAACAGAGUAUGAACAUAGACCCAACAAAGACUUGAACAUGAUUACAGCAGCAUAUGUUUCCAUGGAUUCCAAUGUUGCCACUUCAAACAAAGAUUUCAUUGUAACUGAUAAUGCAAUUUAUAAGCAACAUACUCCUUUAGGGAAUACAGUCCUACAUUUAGCAGCUGCUUAUGGAAAUAACGCAAUGGUAGAGAAGGUAGCUCAACAAGCUCCCUAUCUUUUCACAGUCACCAACAACAACUAUAAUACUGCAUUACAUGUUGCUGCAAGAGCAGGCCAUGGCUCUACCAUUCAAUUCCUCUUGAAUUCUUGGUUGCCUUUUGUGAGACGUGAAACAGAUGGUCAUCAGCAAGAUCAAUCUACUUUGCAAAUGAUGCUCUUAAUGUCUCUCACUUUUACGAAAUAAACAAGGAAACACAUUUGUUCAUGAGGCAUUUAUGGUCAAUGCCCAUAAUGGGGCUAAUAUUUUCCACGCCUUUGAAGCCCCUUUCAUUAAGGAUGGUUCAGAGCUUGAGGCUGAUUUCAAGGGAAUUGUUAAUCAACUAGCAGCAUUUAUAGUCAACAACGAAGGGAAAUCAUUAUUGUACGUGGCCAUUGAGGUUGGUUGUAAGGAAGUUGUUGAUCAACUAUUGGAUCUCUGCAUCCAAUAUGACUUAAAGCCUUAAGGAAAAUCUCCCUUUGUUCCAGCACUCAUCAAGAGAAAUAUGGAUAUGUUGCAUGCCAUUUUGAGUAAGAAACCAAAUUGGAUACACUUGAGAAAUGAAGAAGGGAAGCUUCCUCUUCAUCAGGCAGCCUUUAUGGGGUACUAUAAAGGUGUUUCCUACUUGGUAAAGAAAUGUUCUUCAUGCAUCAUGGAAAGGGACAAUAAUGGCUUCUUUCCUAUUCAUUUGGCAUGUAGUAAAGGUCACUUAAAAGUAGUUAAAGAGCUACUAAAAUACUACCCAGAUCCCACAGAGAUGCUAGACAAAAAUGGCCAAAAUUUGCUCCAUAUUACUGCUAAAAGUGGAAAUAUGAGGUAGUUAGGUACAUCCUCCAACAUCCUAAGCUUGAGGUUAUGAUAAACCAGAAGGAUAAUAAUGGGAAUACUCCUUUACAUUUGGCCACCCUUCACUGGCACCCUAAAAUUGUGCAUUGGUUGACUUGGGACAAUAGAGUCAAUCUUGCUAUACUUAACCAAGAAAACCAAACAGCUCAAGAUAUUGCUGACUUAAGGCAUGACAAAAAUCCAUCCCUUACACAGCGACUUACAUGGAGUGCGUUGCAAUCUACUAGUACACCUCGAAGUUCUUCUAGGUUGCUUUCAAAUGACGCAAAAGCUAGUGAAGAAAAAGAAUCUCCUAGCACCGAACAAUAUAAAGACAGAAUUGACACUUUGAUAUUGGUUUCAACCCUUAUAAUAACAGCAUCCUUUGCUACUGGGUUUGCUAUGCCGGGUGACGUGGAUCAAGGAACAGCUGUUAUGCUGAAUCAUGUCAUGUUCCAUUUGUUCAUUCUCUCCCUCACCAUCUCUGUAUUUGGGGCUAUUAUUACAACUAUAAUUCUCAUGUGAGCUCGUUUAGAUGAUCUCCAUUUGAUGCUUUUUGCUCUGAACUGUGCAAUGCCAGUCCUAGGUAUUUCUUUGACAACACUAUCUUUGGCAUUUUUGGCAGGUGUAUACCUUAUAGUGAGCAAACUUAGCUGGUUGGCUACUA